UCUAAUGUGACAGAACCAAAUGUGAUGAAUUUAAGAUUCAUAAAUAAAUAAAUAUUAUUUCUUUAGAA
rnacentral:tRNA from 1 species